UUGAUUAGCAAAUUCUGGAAUUAGAAGCCAUGCUCUAUGAUGCCCUGCAGCAAGAAGCUGGAGCCAAAAUUUCCGAACUUCUUUCAGAAGAGGAGAAGGAGAAGCUGAAGGGCGCCGUGGAGCAGUGGAAGCGGCAGGUGAUGAGCGAGCUGCGGGAGAGGGACGCCCAAAUCCUGCGGGAAAGGAUGGAGCUCAUCCAGCACGCCCAGCAGAGAAUUAAAGAGCUAGAAGAAAGAAUUGAAGGCCAAAAAAGACAAAUAAAAGAGUUAGAGGAAAAGUUUUUAUUUUUGUUUUUAUUUUUCUCUUUAGCUUUCAUUCUUUGGUCAUAGUCCUUCAGGCCACAUGCACAAGCCCCCUGAGGCCGCUGCAGCUGCUCCUGCUGUCCUUGCCGGAGGGACAGCCCUGCUCCCCGAGCCCCUGGCAGAGACUUUGCCCUCCCCAGCCCCGGGUCUGCCCGGCUCCCUGCUGCUGGCCAUGGCAGGGGCAUGGGGCACCUCCAGCGGGGCUGAGCCGGGCUGGGAGGGGGUCCCGAGAGCCCCGAGGAGCCUUUGGAGGGGACAGAACUGAGAGAGAGAGAGAGAAAAGCUGCUGCUGUCCUGCUGCAGCCCUGAGAGCCCAAAGAAGCCUUUGGAGGGGACAGAACUGAGCAUCAGAGAGAGAGCAAAGCUCUGCUGCUGUCCCGAGAGCCCCGAGGAGCCUUCGGAGGGGACAGGACUGAGAGAGAGAGCAAAGCUCUGCUGCUGCCCUGCUGCAGCCCUGAGGAGCCUUUGCAGGACAGGACUGAGUGACAGAAAGGCAGAAGCUGCUCCUGCCCUGCUGCAGCCCAGCUCUGCCUGCAGCUCCUCACUGAUUCGGACACUCUGGGUUGGUCCUGGUUCCCUGCCCAGCAAAUCUCUUCUCUAGAAGUGCCCGUGUCCUGUUCCUGUGCCACACAUCGUGCUCGUUCCACAGUUCUGCAAAUUCUGUCUCCAAAGAGGAUUUUAGGAAACAUUCCAGAGGAGUAGCUCGUGAAAAGAUGGAUGGGAGUGAAAAUGAAGGGGUUUGUUCCAAGGUAUUUCUUCGUUGCACAGGGUGUGUCCUGUGCUUUGUUGAAUAUCCCACAAGCCCGGUUUUAGGAAAAGCAUAAAACUACAUUCAGGAAAUCAAGCUGUAAUUUCUUUUUUUGAGUUGUCAGUAAACCAUGAUGAGAAAAAUUAUGCAAUCAUUUGUAAUUGGCUGUCCCUGAACAAUGACACAAAGGCUUAACACUGUCCCAGCAAAACGUUCAACCUGGAAAAGAGUGAAGUAAACCAGAUGAUGCCUGAUCCACAUGCAGGGGACUGGGAGAGCAGCAAGAGGGAGCAGAAGGUGGCACCUGGAAGAUGCCCUCACCUUGGGGAAAGGGAGCACAAGUCCCACAGAGCCGAGCCCGCAAGGGAAAAGAAUCCUCCAGAAACACGGGUGAAGAGGGGCAAAUCCAGAAGAAAUUCCAGAGUGUGACUGACCACAUUGCAUCCACAGCCAAGCACAGAAAUGCAGGGCUGAGAGGCAAAGCCAGGGAAGAGGAACAAGGCCAGGACCAAGACCAGGGAUGAGGACCAAGACCAGGGAUGAGAAACAAGACCAGGGAUGAGAAACAAGACCAGGGAUGAGGAACAAGACCAGGGAUGAGGAACAAGACCAGGGAUGAGGACCAAGGCCAGGAGCGAGGUCCUGCUGGCAGCCAGGGUCCCAUGGUGCCCAUUCCCUGGGAGCACGGGCAGGAAGGGAUCAGAGCUCUGGGCAGGUACCUGCACCACUGGAGUUUGUAAAGCUAUGGAGAAAACCCUUUGAUACUGAAAUUCUUCAACCUCUUCCUGCACUUGUACAUCGACCACGUUUUAACCCAGCGCAGGGAGCUCGGCUGCAGAAACAGAAGGAAGGGAGCUGGUCAGAGAAGUGCAGUAUUUGAACCAAAGGGAUGUGACGUUUUAAGGCCAAGGUUGUGGAUUUUGAUAUCAGCGUGUGAGUCUAUCAUGGAAUUGAUUUAACAAGCUCUGAUUCUACCAAUACCAGUGCUGGGAUUCUGGGAUGAGCUGCAUUUUUACUUCUGCCUAAAACCGGGUUCAUUUGGAGUUCUACUGAAAUACUUCAUGUCUUAAAGUGCUGUAUUCCCUGGAAGCCCUGCAGUGGUGGUUGAGGUGACAAAGGGCACGUUAGGAAGUGGCUUGAGUCCAUCUCAUGGCUCUGCAUUCAGGACCUGCUCUUGCCUGGUGUGUUGGUGUGCCUCAAACACCGCUUCUGUUCUCGGAUUAACGUCCUUGAUCCUGGGGGUUUUAAGUACAAAGCCACUUGUACAGGACAGGUCCGUGUGUAAAUAAGGGAUUCUGCUUACCUAUAUGUCACUAUAAAUAUAUAUCAAGUUUUGUACAUAGGAAAGAAAAAAAUAGCUCAAAGAAUGUUUUCAGAACUGUGUCCUCCAUUUAAAUGCACAGACAGGAGAUUGCCACCCAUGUGCUGCCUCCCUCUCCGGGAAGGGAUCCCGCUCCUUCCGCUCCUGCGCGCGGCCCACCAGGCUCUGUGUGAGUUUUUUGGUAGCCCAGAGCAGGGUUGGGCUCUGUGAGGAGUUUUUUGGUAGCCCAGGGCCAGGCUGGGCUCUGUGUAAGGAGUUUCUUGGUAGCCCGGAGCAGGGCUGGGCUCUGUGUGAGUUUUUUGGUAACCCGGAGCAGGGCUGGUUCUGCCCCAAACCCGCCGCCGUGUGUGCGACAGGAGCAGAUUUCUCGUUCCAGCUGGGGAGGAUGUGGCUGUUUUUUCCAGUAUUCUGCUCUAUAUCUGUAGCCUUCAGUGAUUCCUUGAGUGCCUUACAUGGCUUGUGGACAGAAUUCCUGACCAGGAGUUGAAAACGCCCCUGCACCGAGUCCGGCUCCUUCGCACCGCUGUGCCCCUCGCCCCUCGCCGGCAGCGUGCACAGGAACAGAUUUAGCUUCGACUCAGGAAAUCGCCGUGUGAAUAUGUGUAUUAAACCCUGUAUCAUGUGCUGUACAGUUUAUAAAAAGGGACUAUUGUAAACUUAUGCAAAACGUAACAGAGAAAAUGGAGGUUUAGGUCCACUGGCUGGCGUGCCAUGACCCGUGUCCUCUAAUCCUACUCCAGAAUCAUAUCCAAAAUACGGAACGUUGGGUUCAGUGCUGCGACAGCAACCGCCAGCCCGAAAACGGGCGGGAGCGAUCGACUAGAGAAUUUUACAGAUAUUUUUGUAUUGUGAUUCCUAUGAUAUAUAUUGAGAGACUUUCUAUUCCUUUGUAAAAUACAUAAAUGAUUGUCAAUUUUAAUUAAAAAGAUCUGUUUUAAACCUUCAAA